GGCUGGUCUGAAGGUAGUGAGUUUCUCCCUCUAUUGUUCACAGUUACAGAUUGAACUCCUUGUUCUACUACUUUCCCCUCCUACUACUGCACUUGACUAGUCUAAA
rnacentral:Y_RNA from 1 species